rfam:Cavia porcellus supercont2_10 genomic scaffold, whole genome shotgun sequence.
GGGUAUUUAGCUCAGUGGUAUAAGCACCUGCCUUGCAAGCAGGCGGUUGUGAGUUGGAUCCCCAGUACCGA